CCUACGGGAGGCAGCAGUAGGGAAUCUUCCACAAUGGACGAAAGUCUGAUGGAGCAACGCCGCGUGUGGGAUGAAGGGUUUCGGCUCGUAAAACACUGUUGUAAGAGAAGAAUGACAUUGAGAGUAACUGUGCAGUGUGUGACGGUAUCUUACCAGAAAGGAACGGCUAAAUACGUGCCAGCAGCCGCGGUAAUACGUAUGUUCCAAGCGUUAUCCGGAAUUAUUGGGCGUAAAGCGAGCGCAGACGGUUGUUUAAGCCCGAAGUGAAAGGCCACGGCUUAACCGUGGAAGUGCUUUGGAAACUGGAGAACUAGAGUGUGGUAGAGGGAAGUGGAACUCCAUGUGUAGCGGUGAAAUGCGUAGAUAUAUGGAAGAACACCAGUGGCGAAGGCGGCUCUCUGGACUGUAACUGACGUUGAGGCUCGAAAGUGUGGGUAGCAAACAGGAUUAGAUACCCUAGUAGUC
rnacentral:rRNA from 1 species